CACUGCACUCAGCCUGCACGAGAGUGAGGCCCUGUCUCAAAAAGAUGUUUUAAAGAAAGCAUCACGAGGUUCAUCUGAUCUUUCUGCUUACUGCUCUGUCAAAUCUAAGAACCAUUAAAAAAUCAGCUGACUACCGGGAUGAAAAGGGCUGCCAGUCUCCUAGAAGUUGUUAUUACAACGACAGCACUUUUUCUAAAUUAACAGUUGUUCAAAUCUUUGGUAAUCUCAUUUGCCGUUUGCUACAGCUCAGUGCAAUAGAGAGUAGUCUUUACCGUGGGCACUGAGCAGCUGAUGCACCGGGACUCCGGGAAAUCAAGCACCUGACGCGUCUCACGCGACCGCACCAAACCAAGCAAGCCGCCCGUGCCUCCCGUCAGGCCCCGCGAAGCGAAGCACCGCCCCGCAGGCAUCGGGCCAAUCUCAGAGGGCGCGCACGGCGCGUCAGGACCCCGGAACCCGCCCCGUUGGGUGGAGGGAGAGAUGGAGAAUCCAGAAGCUCAGACCCAGCGCAAGCGUUUUCCGGGAGCGGUGGUCUUCAUGAUCCUUUGAAACAAAGCUUCUGAAUGGCUGCUCCACUGCAGUCUUAAGCACUUUCAUCACUAAUAACGAGGAGCCUAACAUCCCUAAGCCUCAGGCUUUUGCUUUUAUUUCCUCAUAGCUGUUUUAUCUUUCCCACAAUACACACCACACACCUUCAGGUUAAAUCACCAGAAGUGGAGUUAGCGAAUCUUUGCUAUAUUAAUUUUCCAAGUAGUGUUGUAUCGAAUUAAAAUAAAACCAAAAAUUUCAUUCAA